AAGCAGGAUUCAGACUACAAUAUAGCUGUUGAGUACUGCAUUAUUGUUCUUCCUGCUCAAAAUUAAGUUGUUUCUUUACUGUAACUGGCUGCUAUACUCGCCUGUAGCAGCCAGGAACAUUUGGCCUCAUACAU
rnacentral:snoRNA from 1 species